UACAGAGGUGUCAAACGUUGUCCGGAAUUACUGGGCGUAAAGGGCGCGUAGGCGGCCUUAUAAGUCAUUUGUGAAAGCUCUGGGCUCAACCCAGGAAUUGCAAGUGAUACUGUAAGGCUUGAGUUCGGUAGAGGAGGGCGGAAUUCCAGGUGUAGCGGUGAAAUGCGUAGAUAUCUGGAGGAACACCCGUGGCGAAGGCGGCUAACUGGGCCGAAACUGACGCUGAGGUGCGAAAGCUAGGGUCGCAAACAGG
rnacentral:rRNA from 1 species